rnacentral:lncRNA from 10 species
GGACUUUUAUUGGAAAAGCCACAUAGAGGUCAAACUCUGUCUAGCUAUCCGUCUAUAAAGAAAUCCAGACAGCGUAAUGCAGCAUUUUAUGAACAACAAGUGGAUCUUCUGGGAAUGACAGAAUCCUCCCUACGAAUUAGAAGCAUGGAAGGAUUCGUUACACUUUAACAGGUUUCUUCAGUGACAUGUGCGACCUUGACUUUUAAUUAUUCAAGAGUGGCAAGUAUGGAACCUAAAGUGGAUUGUUGACACAAGAUGCCUGGAAAUAAGGAGGAGGUUCCAUAUGAAUAUAACUUCUUGCCUAAGUUGGUUUAGGUAAGAAGACUCUUCAUGUGCCUGUUUCCUUCAAAUUUUAAGGAGAGCUCUUGCAUGGUGGUAGAACCGAGGACAGCCUAGACCUUCUGAUUGUCAACUCCUUGUUCCAUUGUGUCCAAACCUACAUGUCUGAACUCCUCUCAUCAAAGACUUCUCAAAGUUAUUAAUAACUGGGGAUCACGUAUUCAGUAAUUACACACAUCAGGCUCCAUGCUUUCUGUGCAGUAUGUAAAUUGAUUCAUUGUCAUACUAAUUAUAAAUGGCUAGUAUUAUUGCUGCUUUACAAAUGAGGCAUAUGACACACAGGGAGCUAAAUAAUUUGCCUAAGGUCACCCCACUUGUAAAUGAUGAAGCCAGGACUCAAGGCCAGGUCUGGCCACCCCUGAAUUUAAUAGCUUUAUCCUCUAUAUCUCUGUUUUCUCCCAGACCAAGGUGUCUGUACCUCUCUGCCAACAGAGAAAAGGGUUCAUUCAUUCAUCAAAUGUUUGUUGAGCAUCUAUUGUGACUCAGGCAAUAUCCUAGAUCAAGGAUUGUCAAACUUUUUCUAUAAAGGACAAGAGAGCAAACAUUUUAGGUCUCCUGGGUCAUACGGUCAGUCACUGUGAUUCAACUCUGCUGUUGUAGUACAAGAUUGUGAAAGCAGCCAUAGAUGAUAUGUCAAUGAAUGAGCAUGGUUGUGUUCCAAUAAAAUGUCACUUGCGAAAGCAGGCUGUGGGCUGGGUUUGGGCCAAGAGUUCUAUCCCUGCUCUAGGCACUGGAGUUACAAUAGCAAAAAAUUAAAAUAAAGUAAAAUAAAAACACAAAAAUGCCUGCCUUUGUGGUGCUUCCAUUCCAGAAUGGGGAAGUAAUUGUAUUUCUGUCCCGUUUAUCAUGUAAAAAUUGUCAUAGGAUCUUGGAGUUGCUGAGCACCUAGAGGUGAUCUGUUCAGCAUUUUCCUCCCAGGGCAGCUCUCCACUCAGAACUCUCUUGGCUGGUGAGGGUUCAUUCUGUGUGCCCGGAUCUAGUGUCACCUCACCUUCCAGGGGACCCAUCCUUGUCACAUAGUCCUUGCUUAUCUGUCUUCCUGACAAUUUAACUCACAUCCUACCCUGUUUGGGCAGAGGGCCCCACAUUUUAGCAUAUCAUAAUCACUUUUGGGGCUUGAAACACUUUGAUGGGCUCCACUCUCGAGAUUCUGAUUCAAUAGGUCUGGAGUGAGGCCCAAGAUUUUCCCUUUCUGACAAAUUCCCAGGUAAUUCC